AAAAAUGAAAAGGUCGAGAGACGAUUGUCUUAGAAGUAGGAGGAUGGGCAAAAGGAAGCAGGUCCCUCGAACAUUCUGGUUCAUGCGAGCUUCAAAUUGGAGAAGCCAAGAAAACAAUGGUAGAGGGAGCUUCAGAUCCGGACUAGAGAAACGACUGAGAAACUAGGAGAGAGAGCGACUUGAGCUAAAAAAUGCACUAACCGAGAGAAUUUCAGAUCUGGAUGACGAGCGUCAGAUUCGAAGGAGGAUGAAAAAGAUCAGGGACACGGAGUGAAUUUCAAGGAGGCGAUUUCAGAUUUGAACAAGAACGAAGUAACGGCUGAGGUGAUCUCAGAUCCGACAGGUUUUGGGUUUUUCAGUCUCUCUUGUACCUUGGGAACGAGAUCACAGACAGCACGAUUCGGAGGCAAAGGGUUCAGAACGGAUUUUCAGAGGCACAAAGGAAUAACUCCCUAUAAAUGCAAAGAGGCACACAAAAAGAGCUCCAUAUCCUUACGAUGGAAAAGACACUAUACCAAACACAAGAUAUUGCAGGAGAAACGAGGGAAGAGUACUAUACAAAAGAAAGGACAAUACUGUAGAAAAGGACACAAUAUAAUCCUCAAGGAAAAGAGAAGAAGACAAUGGACAAUGAAGAUCAAAGGUUGGCAACCCCAAGAGCAAUUAGGAUUUCUCGACCUAAUUUUUCCUUGGUGAUGGUUUCUGUGGUGGGUCUAGCCUUCUUUGGCUACAAUGCACAGUUAGAAGCUUCUAGGGCAGCUAACAAGCCUUGGAUCAAUUUCUUCUUUGUAAUGACUUUCUUGGACAUGGCCUUACUUUAUUGCCUUUUGAUAUUGCAUUCCUCAAUACCUGAGGCAUUUGAGAAAUGGGGUGCCCUUAAAAAGACUACUCUUGCAUCUAUUGUGUCCUUGACAUUGGCAUUUUUGUUGCAUUUGUGGGUGAUUGUCCCUCCAAGCAUGGGAUGGUUAGUGUGGGUGUGCUGUGGAAUAAUGCUUUCUAGUGCACUGGCUAUGGCCUUCCUAAGCAAUAGUCUCACUCAUGAGACUCACUAAGCUUUCCCUUGCCUUCAAUAUUCAUGUGUAAAUGUGUGCUUGUGUUCAUUUAUGGGAGACAGAUAGACAGUGUGUGUACAUAUGAUUGUACUUGGGUUUGUGUUUGUUUAUAAACUUAUUUUCUUUGACUAUAAGAAAUGGUGUGUUUUGUAA